CAUGCAAGUCGAACGGUAACAGGAAGCAGCUUGCUGUUUCGCUGACGAGUGGCGGACGGGUGAGUAAUGUCUGGGAAACUGCCUGAUGGAGGGGGAUAACUACUGGAAACGGUAGCUAAUACCGCAUAACGUCGCAAGACCAAAGAGGGGGACCUUCGGGCCUCUUGCCAUCGGAUGUGCCCAGAUGGGAUUAGCUAGUAGGUGGGGUAACGGCUCACCUAGGCGACGAUCCCUAGCUGGUCUGAGAGGAUGACCAGCCACACUGGAACUGAGACACGGUCCAGACUCCUACGGGAGGCAGCAGUGGGGAAUAUUGCACAAUGGGCGCAAGCCUGAUGCAGCCAUGCCGCGUGUAUGAAGAAGGCCUUCGGGUUGUAAAGUACUUUCAGCGGGGAGGAAGGGAGUAAAGUUAAUACCUUUGCUCAUUGACGUUACCCGCAGAAGAAGCACCGGCUAACUCCGUGCCAGCAGCCGCGGUAAUACGGAGGGUGCAAGCGUUAAUCGGAAUUACUGGGCGUAAAGCGCACGCAGGCGGUUUGUUAAGUCAGAUGUGAAAUCCCCGGGCUCAACCUGGGAACUGCAUCUGAUACUGGCAAGCUUGAGUCUCGUAGAGGGGGGUAGAAUUCCAGGUGUAGCGGUGAAAUGCGUAGAGAUCUGG
rnacentral:rRNA from 1 species